UCAAUUUCAUAUUGCAAUUUUGGAUAUACGAAACAUUCCCAAGAGUUCGAAGAAAUUUGGACACUGGAGAUACAAGACAUUACAAAUUUCAAGUAUGCAUAAAUGGAAGCCAAAGCAGAUAUUGACAGACAAAAUUGUAAAAUAAUAUUUGACGACGCAUGAGGUAUGGUAAUUAUAUGAAAAUUUACAAGUAGUUAUACAUUCAAUUAUGAUAUAGCAUAUAAUUCUAAUAUUUUAUUACAUCUAUAGAUUCGAGUCCUUGCAGUACUACAACCAACAGAAGAAAAAAUACCAUUGGACAAUAAACACACUAUAUUAGAUAGCAUUGUCACUGGAGAACUUGACAAUAUUGUACCACAAAUUCCACAUAGCAAUCGUGAGCAGCAAACAAUUAAUGUUGAUGAUACUAGUACUUCUAGAACAUACACUUCAGUUAGAGUGUAGCCUAAUUAUGCUUUUGUUGACUGUAACUAUGUAACAAAAGAACAGAUGAAAGAGAUGUUAUGUACACAUAGGCAGUAUGUAUCUGGUGUUUGCAAUAACUUGAAGGCACAUAUGGUUGAAGAAUCAAGAAAACAACAGGCUGAAUAUCUUGAAAACCAUAAGCAAAUGUUUGAAGAACAGCAAAAAUGGCACGAACAUCAAUAUCAAGAGCUGCACUCUACCUUCCAAUCUUGUAUGCAAUCUGCAUCAUAUGUGGAUACUCAAGCUUUCUACCAGGAUUUUUUUGGUACACAUAUGGCUGAAGAAUCAAGAACACAAGAAGCUCAUUAUCAAGCAUUUUUUGAUAAUCGGAAAGAAUUCUUUCAGUAACAACAAAAAUAGCAGGAAGAUCACCAUCAGAGAAUGCAAUCUCACAUAGAAUCUUAUGUGGACAACAGUUUAACUUUAGUGAG
rnacentral:lncRNA from 1 species